rnacentral:rRNA from 1 species
CCUACGGGCGGCUGCAGUGAGGAAUAUUGGUCAAUGGGCGCAAGCCUGAACCAGCCAUCCCGCGUGCAGGAAGACGGCCCUAUGGGUUGUAAACUGCUUUUCCAGGGGGAGAAACUUGCGCACGUGUUGCGCAAUUGACGGUACCCUGGGAAUAAGCAUCGGCUAACUCCGUGCCAGCAGCCGCGGUAAUACGGAGGAUGCGGACGUUAUCCGGUUUCAGUGGGUUUAGGCGGACUGUUGGCGGACUGGUGAAAUCCUGCAGCUUAACUGCAGAACUGCCAGUGAUACUGAUAGCCUUGAGUUUGGUUAAGGUAGGCGGAAUGUGUAAUGUAGCGGUGAAAUGCUUAGAUAUUACACAGAACACCAAUUGCGUAGGCAGCUUACUGAGCCGACACUGACGCUGAGGCACGAAAGCGUGGGGAUCGAACAGGAUUAGAUACCCCGGUAGUC